AGUGAACGCUGGCGGUAGGCCUAACACAUGCAAGUCGAACGGCAGCACAGUAAGAGCUUGCUCUUACGGGUGGCGAGUGGCGGACGGGUGAGGAAUACAUCGGAAUCUACUUUUUCGUGGGGGAUAACGUAGGGAAACUUACGCUAAUACCGCAUACGACCUACGGGUGAAAGCAGUGGAUCUUCUGACCUUGCGCGAUUGAAUGAGCCGAUGUCGGAUUAGCUAGUUGGCGGGGUAAAGGCCCACCAAGGCGACGAUCCGUAGCUGGUCUGAGAGGAUGAUCAGCCACACUGGAACUGAGACACGGUCCAGACUCCUACGGGAGGCAGCAGUGGGGAAUAUUGGACAAUGGGCGCAAGCCUGAUCCAGCCAUACCGCGUGGGUGAAGAAAGCCUUCGGGUUGUAAAGCCCUUUUGUAGGGAAAGAAAAGCAGCAGGUUAAUACCCCGCUGUUCUGACGGUACCCAAAGAAUAAGCACCGGCUAACUUCGUG
rnacentral:rRNA from 1 species